rnacentral:lncRNA from 1 species
AGGAGAGAGAAGGAGAAGGGGAGAGGGAGGGAAAGGUGCUGGAAACCCUCACGUUAGACCUUGGCUGGCAGCUGAGCACUGUUGUGCUAAAAUAAACCCUGCUCAGCUCUCUGUGUCUCCACUCCACCUGCAUCUGUCACCUGCUGUCCUGUGACAGCUGCCUGCCUCCCCUCAUGGGCAGCGGACCCUGGAAUGCACGGAUGCUCCGUGAGGUGCCCAGCAGAGACAUGCUGAGCACACUCUCCUCUUUGGUGAUAAGAAAACUCAGUGUUGCUCUAUGAGCUUGAAGCUCAAGGACACGUCACCCAGCAAAGAACUUCAAGUUGAAAGACCUAAAACUUGAAAGCCAAUAAAGACAUGGAGCAUGGUCACACACAGAGAGCACACAGACCACACAGGGUUAAGUGCACCUGGAUAGAUUCAACUAAGCUGGGUUUUUAAACACCUGUGAUACGCCGGCCUUGUUGGUGGCACACAUGGAGAUAGUCUUGGCCCUGCUUUGGGGGAAAGAUGGCCUGGGAUGACAUUCUCUUCUCUAAGGUCUUCUAACCCUCUUCGCAGUAUCAUCCUGUUUGUGGGAGUGUUCAAACUGGUUCUUUCCACAAGUCAUCACACAGAAGUGUUCUUUCCACAAGUCAUCACACAGUAGGUCUCUUUCGGCAGAGGUCUCUGCGAGCAUUUUGUUGGAGCCGCUGAACUGUGUGAUGAUGCGUACACAGGGCGACAGCCUCCUGGGGGCCCCAUGUCCCCACAGACCUUCCUCAGAGACCCCAGGCCCUAGGCCCUGUGGCAGCCCCCGUGGCUGCCUGUCCACCAGAGAGCCCUGGACCUUGCUGGGUUAAGCUGGUCCCUUUCCUUGGAGGGACAGCUGGGUGGCACUUUGGGCCUGGCCUGAGCCCACAGUCACCCAGUUCCAUCACAACACCCGCGGGGUUGCUGCCCUCUCUGCCUGGCCCUGCCCUCCCUGCAGCCCACCUCCCUUGUUAGAGGCUCCAACCCUGGUCCCUGGGGAACAAGAAGACAGGUGCUGUGCUGCUCCCACAGUGACCGAGAGAGCACAGGUGGAAGGCACGGUGGCCAAGUGCCGAGCUCCUGCCAGUCCUGCCGGCAGACCAUGCCCGAAGCCCCACGCUGCAGGCCUCCAGGAGCCCGCCGGCUGGAUGGCGGACAAGGACAGCCUCCUGAAGCUACCAGAUGUGUCCGAAUGACGGGAGGCCUGCAGCUGAGCCCCAGCCGGCUCAGGGGCUUUGGAGAUGCUGUUUUCCGUGAGCACCUCAGGACAAGGACACCUGUGCCCGCCUCGGCUGCCCACGGGCACCCACCCUGCCACCUGCACCCUCACCCCUGGUCGGAGGACGCCAAGGCCUCCCCUGGAGGAUUCCAGCCUCGCUUGCCAUUGUUUCAAAGUGUGAGCGUCUGAGCCAGUGUCCCAGGACAGGACAAAGCCCGGUGGUGUGACCACGCGGCUCGGGAGCUGCCUCCAGCCACUCCACCCUGCAGGGCUCCGUGUGCGUGUGGCUUGCCCUACGGCAGCACUGUCGCUGUCCUCUCAGGCUGACCUCUUUCCCCUUAUAAAGGUAACAUGUUUCCUUCAGGAAGAGAAAACACAGAAACUGUAAGAGGAAAGAGAAGAAAGGGACGAAGAUGGUUUCAUAAGCUUGGAGCCUGGAGACCUGCUCAAAGCUUGGCUUGUUUCCUAACACACACCUGUGCACUCUGACCUUUCAUACAGAUGUGCAAGCCCACACACACAAGGCACGCACACAGACCAUGCAGAUGUGUGCACACACAGGCACAGGAACACACAGGCAUGCAUAUGGGACACAACAUGCUCUGUGAGUUCUCGAGAGGAAAUGAGCACGCGUGUUUCACUGUCAAGUGCAGUGGGUGGAAGUCCCAGUAACGAGCUUGCCUGGGCUCCGUUCCUCCUUCUGAAGGCGGAGCACUGACAGUGGUGACUCCCAGGGCUGCUGGGAGCUGAGGAGAGAGAAGCAGCACGGGCCCUAGGGCCAUCUGUGUCCAUGUGAAGUACUGAUAAUACCAGCUUUUGGGAGGGGCACGCGCAGCAGGCGCUGGGCAAACAUGUUCACAGCGGCACCCACAGAUCUGCCCUGCAGGCUCCCUGGAAGUUGGGCUGUGGCGUGCUAAGCCGGUCCCGGUGCCGGGGCACUCUGGAACUUCUCUCCUGUACACAGGCUUCAGGAACAUCCUCUGACAUAAGUCACUGUGGAGACUUCUGGUGAUCUCUUUAAGCUGAAGUGUGUGAACUUGAGAGUGGAGUCCGUAGCCUGCGGCUGCUGGCCAGACUUGAAUUCCACUGUCACUCUCCAGGAAAUGGUACUUGCCAACACCUCCUCCUCGCCCCCAGGGACCCUCACCCGACUCUCCUUUCUCCAUCAUUAGAAGCAGGACUGGACAUGGGCAGGAUGGCAGGGACACUGUGGACACGCCUCCUGUCUCCCCAUUCACCUCCUCCCCCUUCCCCAGCCUCUCCCAUCACCAGCCCCUGCAUCCUCCCUCCUGUUAGAACCAGUUUCCUCUGUUUAUUAUCGUUUUUUAAAAACCUGGCAAUGUUGAUGACAAUAUGGAAGCUGAGCUUGGUAUUGUCAUUUGAGACAUGUGUGUCCCUCCCUCAGCAGUCUACAAUGUGAAAAAAGCACCCUCUGGCGCCAGAGGCCAGCUGUGCCACAUAGUGGCUGGGAGUCCCAGAGGCACGUCACACGUGCCAUUUCCAGAGAGGGUUCUCCUCUGCACGGAAGAGCCAGAGAGCAGGAAUCCAUUAAAAAGUGAUACAAUGACACUGGACCGUAGGACCACCGAGGGAGCAGAUGACAUCACUGGCUUGUCCCACCCUCUCUCUGGGGGUACUGUGAGGGCUUGCACCUGCCCUCUGGGCAGGUCCUGUCUUGGGGCUGGGACCAAGUGACACUGUCACCAUGGUAGCCAGUCAUGACUGAUGGCUCUUUCUGCAGCUGGACAUGUCUCUUGCUGCAAGUCCUGUGCAUGUGUCCACUUCCCAAAUGCUCUUUCCUCUUCUUUCCAGUUCUUUACCCUCCUUUUUGUGGGACUGUGUCUUGUGAGGGGGUUGAGUGUGGCAGCUAGCCUGGGGCCACGGAGUGCUGUUGCGUCUGGACAGAGCAGGGAGCCCUGGGAGCGAGCAGGACCCUGCUGGUUGGACCUCACCAAGUCUGGGGCAGACGUGUCAUGGUGGCCUGUUGUGCACCUGUGCCUGAUUCCAAGGUGUCCUCCCUGCUGUGGGUUCAGAGCGAGUCCUCCACAGAGGGACCAUCAGGUGGCACCUAGAGGGUGCUGGGGCCGGCUCCCUCCUUGGCCGGAGCUGCCCACUGAGUGAGGGACUGGUGUGGGUGGGCUCUGGAGCAAAGCAACCCUCUGGGAGUCCACAGCCUCAGGGAGCUCUGGGUGCAUUCACUCUGAAAUGAACUGUGUCCCCACGAAAGUCAUCUGCCAAGCCCCCCCAGGUGAUGGAGGUAGGUGGGGCCUGUGGUCAGGUCAGAUGAGGUCAUGAGGAUAGAUCUCCCGGGAUGGGAGAUGAAAAUGAAGGGGAGGAAGUAAUAGCGCAGGGGUCCACGAACAAUGCCCACCCACAGGAGAGGGCCUUCACCAGGAGCCGCCGCAGCCUGACCGUGGACUUCCAGCCUCCAGAGCUGUGUGCCAUCAAUACUUUUUGUUGAAGCCAUCGCACAAGCAGGGCUUUGUGGUGGUGGUCAACGCACCCCAGGAACCAGAAGUAAGCUCGGGCCGGCCCUUCCCAGCAGUCUGGAGGCCAGGCUGUCCACCCCUGAGCAUCAUGAGUGGCUGAGAUGUUCUCAGCAGGGGGGAGUGCAGAAGGACUGGGGCACAUGACACUCCACAACCGGCCUUUUCCUCUCAGAGCUCUGGGGUCCCAGAGAGUGAGACCAAGGCCAGCAGGGCCACAUGCCCUCUGCAGGGCUCUGCAGGCACCAGGGGUCUCCUUCAGGCCACACACUUCUGAAGGUCUUGGACCCUGAGCAUGACCCCGGCCUUCGCAUGGUGCUCUUCCUGGGUAUGGGUCUGGUCCGAGUCUCCGGGGCGCUCAUACUACACCAGGGACCACACUACUGACCCUGUCCUGACUCAGGGGCCUCCAGGAAGCUCCUGUCUCCAGAUAAAGUCACCCUCUCAGGGCCCGGGGCAGGAGCUCACUCUAACACAUCUCGUUUGGGGAGACACAAUCCAGCCCCCACCACCCCUGAUCCUCAUGUCCUCCUCUGCCAGCGAGCAGCCACAGUGUCUAACUCACACGGCUGUCACGGUGUCGAUAAGAUAGGAGGCGUGAAGCACUCAGGCCUGCUCCGAGCACGGGGAUGUCAGCACGCUUUCAGAGAUAGACUCCGACAGGCACAUGCUCUCAGUCAGGUGCUCUUGAGCCCACCAGCCCACGUCCCACAGAGAGACCAAAGUCUCAGGGUGCUGUCCCAAUAAGUGAUCCUGUUCAACAGACUCUCUUAACCUAAGGUCCCCUAACUGGACUCCUGUUAGCCUCCUGGGGGGACCCCUGCCUAAGGAACUCUCAACACUGCAACUUCCCCUGCGCGGCAGCCAUGAGACAACAUUUAAGCAUGGUGAGGCCUGUGUGGAAGAGAUCAGGGCCACGUGUGCCGUCACACUGACACGAACAUAUCAAGAACAGGAGUCUCACGUUGAGCCGCGGGGGCUGAGCAGACACUCUUUAGGAAUGACAUGGGGGAAAGCCCUUCCACGCUGCCUGGGCCCUCUUCACGGGAACACUCCCCCGUGACCGUUCUAGUCCUGUGGAUACCAAGCCCUGGAUGUUUCCUGUUAGAAAACCCUGCAAUAUGUGCCAGGUUUAGCUGGAGCAACCAAGUGUUCACUGCAGCUGACCAACUGAUGCUCUGGGGGCCAGUGCUGAGUGGCAGCACCCAGACAUGCCAGGACUCAGGUGUCAGUGGCAAGAGGGGAGUAUGUGGAACACCCCAAUGUCCCCUCCUAUGGCCCUGCUCCGUGGCUGUCCCACAAAGCCCAGAACUUAGUGAAUUUGUCUGAUGCCAGUAACCUUGGAAGCCGGGAUGCAGAGGCUCAAGGAUCCCUACUGCCCACUCAGUAAAUGCUACUGUCUUGCAAGUAGCAAACCAAAUGUUUAGACAGAUCGUCUUCACGUGGGCACGGGCUCUGCAGUUUCCUCCAACAGCAGCAGUAGAUGUGUUCAUCUGUUUUUAUUCUCUCCUCUGAUGUCCUUGGUGAUCAGUAAAAUGACUUUUCCAGGCCAUUGAUUGGGGUCAGAAGUCAACUGGGAACAGAGGGAUCUAUCUGUCCUUCUACAAUGUGUUCAAGAUGUUACAGGAAAUGAAUAAAUGAUGAUUCAGCUUCCCCAAAUAAUGAGUACUCCAUUUUAUACUUUAACCCAAGAACAGACUAGCUAAGCUUCUCUAGGGUGCUGUACUUGAGGCCUGCCUUUCAG